rnacentral:rRNA from 1 species
AAGUUGUUCCAGUCAAAAAGCUCGCAGUUGGACUUUGGGAUGGGCCGGACGGUCCGCCCUAGGUGUGCAUCGGUCGUCUCGUCCCUUCUGUCGGCGAUGCGCUCCUCGCCUUAAUUGGCCGGGUCGUGGCUCCGGCGUUGUUACUUUGAAGAAAUUAAAGUACGCAAAGACAGCCUACGCUCUGUAUACAUUAUCAUGGGAUAGCAUUAUAGGAUUUCGGUCCUAUUCCGGUGGCCUUCAGGAUCCGAGUAAUGAUUAACACAGAUAGUCGGGGGCAUUCGUAUUUCAUAGUCAAAGGUGAAAUUCUUGGAUUUAUGAUAGACGAACAACUGCGAAAGCAUUUGCCAAGGAUGUUUUCAUUAAUAAAGAACAAAAGUUGGGGGUUCGAAGACGAUCAGAUACCGUCCUAGUCUCAACCAUAAUAGAUGCCCACCAGGGAUCGUUGGAUGUUUCUUUUAGGACUCCGCCUGCACCUUAUGAGAAAUUAAAGUAUUUGGGUUCCG